AGUAUAAGACGAAGCUUCGGCUUCUGACUCCCCAUCCUUUGCUUACCAUCCCCCAUACUUCGGCGGGCGAUAUAGAGGGAAUGAACUUCUAGCGAUAGAGGAUCCUCCCUCUGUCCCAGCUCGCCGGCAUUACAAAACCUCAAGCUAUAACAGUGCUGUCUGAGCAUUUGCAAGCAAAAGAAUAAAAACUUUCAACAACGGAUCUCUUGGUUCUGGCAUCGAUGAAGAACGCAGCGAAAUGCGAUAAGUAAUGUGAAUUGCAGAAUUCAGUGAAUCAUCGAAUCUUUGAACGCACAUUGCGCCCUCUGGUAUUCCGGAGGGCACACCUGUUCGAGCGCUAGUACAACAAUCAAGCUCAGCUUGGUGUUGGAUCUGGCCCUUUCCUCGGAAGGGACCUUUCCAAAACUCAUGGGCGCCGCCGUCCGGCUCCAAGCGUAGCAAGCGAAAGCCCUCGCUUUGGAUAGUCGGGUCGAUGGCCGCCGGUAAACACUUGGGGUAACCCAAAUUACUACAGUUUAGCCUCGGAUCAGGUGGGGAUACCCGCUGAACUUAAGCAUAUCAAUAAGCGGAGGAAAAGAAACCAACAGGGAUUGCCUUAGUAACGGCGAGUGAAGCGGCAAUAGCUCAAAUUUGAAAUCUGGCGCCUUCGGCGUCCGAGUUGUAAUUUGUAGAGGAUGCUUCAGACACGGCGCCGGCCGAAGUUCUUUGGAACAGGACGUCAG
rnacentral:rRNA from 1 species